rnacentral:lncRNA from 1 species
UUUUAAUUCCUUCCAAUAUUCUUCUGGUAAUACUUCUCUUCUACAUCUAUUAGUUCCAGCUCUCGUAUCUAUAUAUGUUGUAUAAUAUCUACUAUUAUAUCCAUCACAUUUUACUUUAAUUAAGAUAUUUAUUUCUUCAUGACUCAUAUACUUUCUAUUAUUAUAUUUAUAGUAUUAAUUGUUUCUCUUUUUAUCUUAA